UUGGGGUGAAAAGGGGCCAAAAUGGUGGGGUGGGGGGAGAGGAGCCGAGGGGGGAGCCACGCCGUGCCCCUGGGCCCGGCCCAGCCCGGCUCGGCGCUGCCGUCGCCAUGGCAACGGGGGGAGGGCGCAGGUACCGCGCACUGACAGGCACGGCUGGUGGCAGGUAACCCGGCUGGAAGAAGGGUGAAGCCGCUUCAGCCACGCAGACGCAUGCCUCUUCGCUGUUUUGACCUCCCCUGGCUCAUGUGGACAUAAAUAAGUGGAGAAAUGCAUGAAAUGCCCACUUCUAGGAUCAAGAAUAAACUGUGUAUUUUUGUCUUUGUCGGAAAGGCUCCCAUGGGGCAAUCUUCCUAAGCACUGGGAUUGCCUGUUUGGCAGCAAGGAGGCUUAUAAAAAGCAACUCCAGGUGGAAGUGGGCCUUUUCCUGCUCCUCCCUCCACACUGUUGCAAUUCCCUGUCGUCGAGGCCCUGAGAACAGCCUGCCUUUGAGACUGAGCUGCAAGUGUAAGGAAGUGGUGGCUGCUGGAUCCACAUGCAAUACCUACUUUAUUUACAUUGAAUCAGGGACAUUUAAAUGUUGUGGGGAAGUUUCUUGUACACAAUGUAGCACAUCUACUGAUGGUGACCAUUCAGCAACAAAUGUAACUUUAUGAAUUAAGCCUAUCUCUAAAGAAAACAAGUAGCUUUUAUGCAUCCUUAUACUUGGUUUCUAGGAAGUCGGCAUGAGUAAGGAUGCCAUCGUGUUUGAGCUUUUUAGCUCCCUUAUAAACGUUUCUUACUGUCUUACAGACUGAAGGAUGGAAGUGGUAGAUCAUUUAUUAAAUAGAAAAAGACCUGACAGCACGUGCAGCCUUCUGAGUGAAAAGUCACGUGGGCAACCUACUACACCAAAGAUUAAACAGUGAACAUUAGUGUUAAUGCUGUAUAUUAGUGCUAUUGCUGUACCUCUUGCCUUCCAGUCACUGCUUUACAUUUUUUUUUUCUGUUAAGUUGUAGAAGAGCAAGUGAAAUCCUGCCUUCUGAGAAGCGGUGGAAUAAUCUGUGUGCUCAGUGCUAAAAAUACGGCGUGUUCUGGCUUGCAUUUUUUCAGAGAGAAAACAAUUGGUCCAUUGCUUAAAAGUUGUGCCACUCGGCGCGGCGAUGCUUACUGUGCGGCCUACUAAGUGUGACCUGUGGCAUUACGGAUGCAACGCACAUCUCCUCCCUCUUCUGCAACCACAGGAUGAAGACACGAGGGCUUAUUGCCUUAACUGAAAUAAGCAAUUUCUGUUCAUCUGCUGAGAAUGUACGAGUAAUAUAAUGAUUGUGCAAGGUGCCGGCAAUACACAAAGUAUAAACAAACUUAUGCAUAGAGCAGAUGAAUUUCUGGCGGGUUUCCAGGGGAGUUCUCUCAGCGCUGCAGAGCUGAGGUAUUUCUCUCUAAGCGUAGGACAAAUUUUAGAUGCAAGACAGCAACAUUAAAGACGCAGGGUGGAGGGAUACAAAAUGAGGCAUUAGAUGGUGGUGGUGCUUUUAACAGCGACCUGUGACUCUGGAUUUAUCUCUCCGUGAUUGGCACUUACCGCUGUUGAACACCUCUACUUUCAAAUAAUGUCAGCAAGAAUGACAAGUGCACAGCAUCUCGUGGCAUCAGAUACAACAUUUCUCCUAUGAAAUGUGCAGCUGGAGUGAGGCGUUCCUUUAUCUGUGAGCCGGUAUCAUCAGAGUAUACUUUAUUAAAUUAAAUUUUAAAUGUAAUGUUUGUAAAAUGCAAGUUAACAGCGUAUUGUUUUAAGCACCUUGAUGAUCAAACUCUACUUAGCCAGGUGGUUGUUUCUUUACUUCCAAUGAAGUGCCGAGCAAGGAAUAUGCAUUUGGCUGGAUUGAAAGAAACUAUGAAGAUUGUACAAGUAAAUUAAAGUCCUUAUAUGUUGCUGAAUGUAUCUCACACUCUGACCAUCCCAGUACCCACCGUACCCGAUGCGGGCUGCAGUGUGUGCAUGUUAUCCUUGUCCUCCCCGUGAUGCUGUUUCCAUACAGUACUGAUUCGUACUCGGAGCUUGUGCCCUUCCCUUCAAGCACUCUUUGUCCAUGAAAUGAAGAUCACAGCUGACAACAUUGCUACUCUGUUGCCGCAGAAGUCUAUGAUAAACAUUAAAUGUAACUGUAUAUGAAACAGUUUUCUCAGGAAUGGGUCCGAAGUGGAAGGAACAAUGUCUUUUGUCUCCUCUACACAAGUGUAUGGUGGUUUUAUGUAUGUCCCGAUAUCCUGAAGCAAAACUCUCCAUGCACACCCUUCUUGCGAGGGAGAGAGACAGAAGAGAUGUCACCGAUUGCUCUGCGGUAACGCACUGAGAUACUACUGUGAUAAAAGCAGUGUAAGAAAACACAAAGGAUGGUAUGGAUUGCUGUAAUGCAGAGCAUGUUUAUGAAAUGUAUAAAUUACACCAAACCCGGGCGGACGGUGACUGCUGCAGAUGAUCAGUUCAGAAAUCGAAAUGAACUUAACAAACGGAAAAGUGAAAUUCAAUUAAAACAAUCACCAGUUUCUUGGAGAAAACAAGUUAGAGGGUUGUACAGGGUGCGUAGGGAAUUGCUAGCAAAAUAGCAAGAGGCAACGCAACGCUUUUGCAAAAUACAAUGCUCUCUUAGGAUUUAUCAAUAGGUGGCAUAUGUAAGUCAUAGAGUAAGAGGUAAAGAUGACUCCACUAAGUGCUGGUGAGGCCUCAGCUGUCCUAUUGCAUUCUGUUUCAUGCUCUCUGCUGAGAAAUGAAGUUCAGAAUAGGGCAAGAAAAAAAAAAAGA